GAUUGGGCUGAUAGAGGGCCCUAAUGAGUCCUGAAACAAAGCUAUGUGGGCGUGUAAAAAGGAGCAGAAACACCUGCCUGUUCAUACUCAUAAUAGUAAAAGAAGAACGAACUCUUCAAGCCAGCAGUGAUUGAUGUGCUGCAGAAAUGAGCACCAAGCUGGCCAGGACUUCCUCAGUUUUACAUGCUUCUGGAUGAUCCUGAUGUUACAGUGAGAGACAGCUUUACAGAAUGCAGCAUCUGUGCUUGCUGCUGUUACUGAUUUUACACCAGGCUCCAAAAGUCACAGGAUCCUCAAAACAGCUCUUUGCAGCUACGGGAUCUUCAGUGCUGCUCCCCUUCAACAAUGUCACAGAGAUCAUAUGGUUCAUGCAGUGGGAGUACAAAAAAGGCCCGAAACAGGAAGGAAUUGUGGAUUACUUCAAGUCAGAUUCAAAAAUAGUGAUCUAUGAUCACUAUGAAGGCAGAGUACAAUUCCAUACAUCCAAUGGCUCCCUCGAGCUGAGAAACGCACAAGUGAAUGACAGCGGUACUUACAUGGUCACGGUCAACUUAAAGAAAAAUUUAGUAAGAGAAAUAUUACUCCUAGUUAUAGACCCCGUGUCCAAACCUGGCUUACAGACAGAUUCAAAACUGGCUGAUACACCCAUCCAAUUAUCUUGUGCAGUGGAGCAUCUUGCCACAGUAAAAGAUGUUGUCUGGAAGAAAAAUGGGCAGCUGCUUCGCCCAAAUGGUCAUUAUAUGUUUUCUGAAGACUUCAGAGUUUUGCAAAUACAGAAUGGGCAGAAAUCAGACUGUGGCUCCUACUCCUGCAAUGUCAGCAAUGAAGUAAGCUGGGAUGAAGCCUCCCUGGACUUGAUCAUUGACGGUAAGGGAUAUAGCAGAAGCUUGAACCACAGAACAUCAACAGCCUUUUCCUUAGGUUUAUUAGAGUGGAGUCUUCAGACAGGUUUGAAACCUUUUCUGAAGCAAGCACAGAAAAUCUCUACUGCUGCUAGCUUCUUGGCAUGGGCUGCCACACUGGGCCUCCUUCUUCUGUACUAUCUAUCAGGAAAAAAAAGAGUUGGCAUAAUGUCCCGGAGAUGGCCUUGUGUAGGCUUUCUUGUGCUGCUGUUUGGCUCCUGUCUUCUUCUGGCCAUUGCCAGUGGUCUCUGGAUACAAGAGGAAGGCAUCUCUCCAGUCUUUCUUCUAAUGUUUUUCCUUGCGGUGGGAAUCAUCAUAAUGUUAUUAGCAGCUGUGAUCUUAGCACUUUCCCCAGUCAUGGUACAGGGAUUUAAAGCAAAACCAUGGACCCAUAUUGUCUUGGAUGCCGCUGUUCUGGGAGGAAUGGUGCUAAACGUGCUCUUCACCAGCCUGCUGCUGGAGGACAUUCAGCAUCAGCAAAGAAAAGGAUGCUCGCCUGAUUUUGACUGGACAGCAGCAACAGUUAUCGUAUCUGUUGUUUCUCUCUUUGUGUUUCUAGUCAUCUUUGUGUGGUAUCACCAGGAAAUAAAAUACCAAGAAGCACCAGAAAAAAAGCUGCAAGUUGAAGGGCAUCAGAAAUUAACGGUACAGUUUCCCCAGAGUUUUUACCAGAAUUUGAAAGUGUCCUCACUGAUAUUCUGUGAUCCCAGCAGUCAGUCAGAACUUGUUUCAGCUUUCAGCACUUCAAAACACAUUAUAAAGAAUGCAAAAUAUUUCUUUUAUAAACUCAUUUUAUCUAUGAAGCUACAUACUAGGCUAUCGCCCAAGAUUUUUGUCUGGUUCUGCCAAGUCGUUUACUUGGGAACACCAUUCAUGAAGACAACUAUACAUCUUCAGCUAACUUCAAUCUGAAAACAUCCAGAAAGUCUCUCUUUGCUUUCCAGAUUUAUAGGUAAGAUCUGGGAAGGGGAUAUCUUAACAGUCCACAGUCCAACAGCAGACAAUUUAGCAGGUAAAAUCAAACUGCAUAAUUGAAAAAAGACUGACUUGUUUUACCUUGCAACUACACUGGUUCUGACAGUCACAAAAAAUUCAUGCCAUAACGAGUUCAAAGGCAUGGCUGCAGGGAUAAGCAUUGUUCUUUUAGAAACAGGUAAUCUUAAUUAAAAUGAAAGAUACAUCCACUUCUAAAACACUACACAAACUAAAAACCGUAAAGGAGAAAAUUAUCAAAUUGAAUGAUUCAGCUCCUGGUGUGAGCAAUUGUAAUAAGCUGUGAAGACAUCAGCAUGUCCAUAUGGUGGACAUCUGGUCUAGAAGGAUGUGAAGAACAUCCAUGCACGCAUACACACAGACGCUGCCAUACUAUCAAGACUACCAUUGGUGCAAUAUAGCAGGAGUCUGAUCCCAACCUGUACGUGGUCAAGACCUGGGAGAUUUUUAAGAGUAUUUCUACAUACUGGAAAACAAGCAUUUAAACUGUAUUUCUCAGAAAAGCUCCCCUCUGCCCCCCAAAUCUCUGGCCACCCCAUCAGAUGUUCUGCCUUCACUGAAUUGCUCUAGGCAAUGCUAACAAGUAAAAUGCCCAGUGAGUCAGACCAAUAGGUUCCAACUCGAGAAUCUCUUCCCAGUUCCCAAACACAACUAGCUGAAGCUCUGGAGCAUGGCUUUUUAGAGUUAUAUAGAAAUGGGACAAACAAGGGUCUCUUCUCUUACUAAACUCCUUUAGAAACACAAGGAUAUUGAAUAUUCAACUAUCUCUGUUACUCUGAAGUAGUAUGAGAGAGGUUUUCUGAAAGCACAGUAUACUAGUAUCUGGUUUUAAGAAAUGUAUAACAUUGGGCUAUUAAAAUAGGACAAGAAAAAGCCUUCCCACCUCAGAGCCAUCUCCCAUCACUGCAUGGGGAAGAUCCUUAGGCUGUGAUCCCCAAGCAGCAGAAAGGAGUUGAAUGGGGUAGGAGUCUGAUAUGUUUAUUAACACACUUGCAUGUUUAUGGGAAAGCCACAGUAUGAUUGCAAUGCCUGCAUGUUAUUUAGAGCAGAAAGAUGUGCAGUAGCAGUUCAUUCACAAGGCACAUUUCAAACAUUCUCUCACUGGUUUUCUCCUUUUUGAAUUCAGAAUUUCAAAGAUGAAGAACAUGAGGUACAGUUUUGAUAGACGUGGCCCGCACAGCCCCUGCUUGCACGAGAAAUAUCGAAAGAUAUUUUUUUCCUGGGCUCUUACUUUUCUCAGAAGAUGCGAAGUCAAGGACCUUUGAGCUUCUGUAACUAGUCCAGCGCCCCGUGGAUGCAACCUGACCGGGGCACAGGUGACGUGAAAGCCUUUCAGAACAACAGAAGAUGAAGUUGCCGGAAGUUAAAAAGUUGGAGGAAGCUCACAGUUCAUGUGCACAUAGGGUGUAUUUACAGUCAAAGUAACGAAGCAGAUGUUGCCAGGAGGGCAGAAUACGCUGGUUUCACUGAUGUGGAUUAGGCACAACCAAACCACUAUGAAUACUUCACUUUGCCAGAGCAAAGGAAACAGAGUAGCUCCUCCAGCACUAUAAAACCUGAACUCUAGCAGAAAUUUCACUUGUCUACACUGCAGCGCAGUGGUCUGGCUGUAGCUUGUCUGGGCACACCUAAACUGAGCUGAUUUCAAGGAUUAAAUUGUAAGUGCAGCAGCAUGGAUUGCAGAAUGAAAUUGUUCAGGCAGCUACACAGUGGGUCCUGCGUUGCUGUGGCCAUGCCACUUUAACCUUGCUACCUGGGGCAUGUCUGCAUUUCAUUGCUGUCCAAACAACAGAUGAACCUGCUGUGGAUGAGGAAGAGCAAUUAAUGAUCAUGACACAUUAUUGGUUUCUUUUUUUCAAGUCUGGGGAUAUGGAUUCUUUUUUUCUUUUUUUAAGAGUGUAGUAAAAAAGGAGAAAAAAAAAAGAGAAACAGCUUUUUUGCAUGUGGUUCAUGGCUAGAAACAACCACGCAGCUCAUCAGAUUGACCUUAAGUGGCAAAAAAGCUGCAGCAGGUCUCUUCCAAAGAGGAAUUUCACAGAAAUUAAACCACUGUGAACAAAGAACCCAUAAAUUUUCAUCUCUUCAGAGCAAAUUUGCUGAGCAGGUGUAUUAUUACAAUAAUCACUAGUCCCUGAGCCUCAUUUUUCCAAGUUCUGCUGGGUCUGCUGAAGUAUGGUGACGUUUCAUGAUCUGAGCUGGGAUUAAGACCAGAGAAAAACUCAGCAAUCCAAAGGACUUUCUUUCCUGUCUUCUUUGGGUAAACAAGCAGCAACUGAGAUGGCCAGAAUGGCAGAAAUAAAACCCAGUUUUGCUUCCAUCAGGUUGUCUCACAGCCACGUCUUUCUUUGCUCUUAAGAAGCUGAACUUGCUCAUGUGUCUGCUUGCUGUGCCAUGUGAAUCUACCAUAUGUUUACAAAUGCAUUAUUACAUCUAGGCUUUCAUUAGUUUUAGAAUUAGACUUCUUUAUAAAAAAGAAUGGCGCAGAAUAAAGGGUUAGUUCUCUUCUUCUGUGUUCUAA